AUAUUCCAAAAAGGCAUGUUCGAGAAAACAUCCUCGUCACCCUCCAAGUUGCCACACGUAUACAAUUACACGGACACCUACUCUUCGCUCUGUGUGCUCCACCGGUACGUCCGUCCCUCAACUCUCGCUCUUCACCGAGGAAAUCGAAGUGAAAUGGCAGCAAUGUCGGGGAAGGUUGUCCAUAUUGUUUUUGUAUCACAGUGCUACCAACAGAAUAGGCAAUUCAUCAGCACCCAAUAUCAAAGGGACUGUUGUGCCCCUCAUGUGCGCACCUUGCUUCCCUUUCAAGGAGGGAAGUUGGCAUGGACUGGCAUCUCUACCAUGCAAUUGCGCACCUUAUCAAAACACCGGAGUGGUUUUGUUAACCGAGGAACUGUUCACUGCAAUGCUGGUCCCACUACUUCUGCAGUGCCAUCUCUUGACAAAGUUGAUUUCUUGAAGCUUCAAAAUGGCAGUGAUAUACGAGGUGUUGCUGUUCCUGGUGUUGAGGGGGAGCCUGUCAGCCUCACCGAACCAGUUGCAGAAUCAAUAGCAGCUGCCUUUGCUGGAUGGUUGGUGGAAAAAAAGAAAGCUGAUGGCUCUCGACGUUUGAGAGUUUCCAUCGGCAAUGAUUCCCGAAUAUCUGCACAAGUUUUACAGGAUGCAAUUUCUCGAGGUAUUGCUGGUGCAGGCCUGGAUGUUGUUCAAUAUGGAUUAGCAUCUACACCAGCAAUGUUUAAUAGCACACUUACUGAAGAUGAUGCGUUUUUAUGUCCAGUCGAUGGGUCCAUUAUGAUAACAGCAAGUCAUCUGCCUUACAACAGGAAUGGAUUUAAAUUUUUCACAAAUGCUGGAGGGCUUGGAAAAGCUGACAUCAAAGACAUCUUGGAGCGUGCUGCAGAUAUAUACAAUAAUUUUCCGGAAAAUGGUUUGAUGAAUUCAAAGGAAAAAGCUUCUACAUCGAUAAGGAGAGUUGAUUACAUGACCAUAUAUACAUCUGAUCUUGUAAAAGCAGUCCGCAAGGCUGCAGGAAAUAUAGAGAAGCCAUUGGAGGGAUUCCAUAUAGUUGUUGAUGCAGGGAACGGAGCAGGAGGAUUUUUCGCAGCAAAAGUGCUUGAGCCUUUGGGUGCAGUUACUACUGGCAGUCAGUUCUUGGAGCCAGACGGUUUGUUUCCAAAUCAUAUUCCAAACCCAGAGGACAAGACAGCAAUGAAAGCUGUAACUCAGGCUGUUCUUGAUAACAAGGCUGAUUUGGGGAUCAUCUUUGAUACUGACGUUGACAGAUCUGCCGCUGUUGAUUCCACUGGCCAUGAGUUUAACCGGAAUCGUUUGAUUGCCUUGAUGUCUGCCAUUGUUCUUGAGGAACAUCCUGGAACAACUAUUGUGACCGACAGCGUGACUUCAGAUGGUCUGACCACAUUUAUUGAGAAGAAACUUGGAGGGAAGCACCAUCGGUUCAAGAGAGGCUACAAAAAUGUCAUUGAUGAAGCUAUUCGUUUGAACUCUGUUGGUGAGGAGUCACAUCUGGCUAUUGAGACUAGUGGUCAUGGAGCUCUGAAGGAGAAUCACUGGCUUGAUGAUGGUGCUUAUCUCAUGGUCAAAAUCUUGAAUAAGCUUGCUGCGGCCAGAGCUUCAGGAAUGGGUGGUGGCAGCAAAGUUUUAACUGAUCUGGUACAAGGUCUGCAGGAACCAGCUGUUGCUGUAGAACUGAGAUUAAAGAUCAAUCAGAAUCACCCAGAUCUUAAAGGAGGAUCUUUCCGGAACUAUGGAGAGGCGGUGCUGAAACAGUUGGAGAACUCUAUUGAAUCAGAUCCAAAGCUUCAAAAAGCCCCUGUUAGCUAUGAAGGGGUCCGAGUUUCUGGCUUUGGGGGAUGGUUCCUUCUUAGACUCUCACUUCAUGAUCCUGUACUUCCCCUCAACAUCGAGGCACAAAGCAAUGACGAUGCUGUCAAACUUGGACUUCUUGUGCUUGCUGCUGUUAAUGAGUUCCCAGGUCUGGAUACAUCUGCCCUGGAUAAAUUUGUCCAAGUAUAGGCUUCAGAACUAUUCAAGCACCAAAUCCACUGCUUUCAUGAAAUGAGGUAACACCUUUUCAGUGCGGCUCAUCUACGACGUAGCUCCGACAAAUAGAUGCUACAGGAAAUUCAGCUCCAAAUAGCGCACUAGAAUGUUCAGAAAUAAGAGUUGCGAUGUCUAGAACGGAGGGCCUGUACUUUACCCGAAUGAGGAGGAUUCAGACCGGGAUGACGAUGACUUCCAGUUUCGGUUCAUUGGGAAGCCUGAGAUGCACUUCAUGGUGAUGAUGAAAUCAAUCCGGUGCCGAUGAAUGGGAAAGGAAAGG